UACGUAGGGUGCAAGCGUUAAUCGGAAUUACUGGGCGUAAAGCGUGCGCAGGCGGUUGUGCAAGACAGAUGUGAAAUCCCCGGGCUUAGCCUGGGAACUGCAUUUGUGACUGCACGGCUAGAGUGUGUCAGAGGGGGGUAGAAUUCCACGUGUAGCAGUGAAAUGCGUAGAUAUGUGGAGGAAUACCGAUGGCGAAGGCAGCCCCCCGGGAUAACACUGACGCUCAUGCACGAAAGCGUGGGGAGCAAACAGG
rnacentral:rRNA from 1 species